UUUAGCUUCUACGGGAGGCUGCAGUGGGGAAUCUUGCGCAAUGGGCGAAAGCCUGACGCAGCCAUGCCGCGUGAAUGAUGAAGGUCUUAGGAUUGUAAAAUUCUUUCACCGGGGACGAUAAUGACGGUACCCGGAGAAGAAGCCCCGGCUAACUUCGUGCCAGCAGCCGCGGUAAUACGAAGGGGGCUAGCGUUGCUCGGAAUUACUGGGCGUAAAGGGAGCGUAGGCGGACAUUUAAGUCAGGGGUGAAAUCCCGGGGCUCAACCUCGGAAUUGCCUUUGAUACUGGGUGUCUUGAGUAUGAGAGAGGUGUGUGGAACUCCGAGUGUAGAGGUGAAAUUCGUAGAUAUUCGGAAGAACACCAGUGGCGAAGGCGACACACUGGCUCAUUACUGACGCUGAGGCUCGAAAGCGUGGGGAGCAAACAGGAUUAGAUACCCUUGUAGUCGAAUUCU
rnacentral:rRNA from 1 species